UACGUAGGGGGCAAGCGUUGUCCGGAUUUAUUGGGCGUAAAGAGCGUGUAGGCGGUUAGGUAGGUCCGUUGUGAAAACUCGAGGCUCAACCUCGAGACGCCGAUGGAAACCAUCUGACUAGAGUCCGGAAGAGGAGAGUGGAAUUCCUGGUGUAGCGGUGAAAUGCGCAGAUAUCAGGAGGAACACCGGUGGCGAAGGCGGUUCUCUGGGCCUUACCUGACGCUGGAGGAGCGAAAGCAUGGGGAGCGAGCAGG
rnacentral:rRNA from 1 species